rnacentral:misc_RNA from 1 species
UUUUUUGCAAAUAUAUUAGUUUUGUUUCUUUGUUUUUGAAGUGUUUGGCAAUAAGGUGGAAAGUUGGGAAUACAAUGAGCCAGAAGUCUAAGUCUCUCACAUGGUCUUUAUUUUAAAUAAAAUGAAAUUCAUCUCUUAUCAUUUUGUGUAUUGCUUAUGGUUUUGGUGUUGUGCAUUUGAAAAUUGUGGCUGAAAUGAUAUCUAAAAUUUUUGUAUGAUGCAUUUUUCCUUAGUACAUGGCAUUUUUAUACGAACAGAUUCUCCUAAACCUACUAUUUAUCAGAGAUUCAGAAUGUAGUUUGAAGCUUUAAAUGCCCUCGAUCAACACCAUGGAGGCAAUCAGCUUGCUUUAGGUGUGAAUUGCAAUCUAUGUGAUUCCAGAAUGUCCAUCUUCUUGGGAAGAACCUGGAAUGCUUUCCUAUUUACCAUCUCACCAUUUAGAUGAUGUACUGGUCCAAGAUGUCACCUGUGACUGCUGUGCCAAUUGUAGGCCAUUGCCCAAUAUUAAUCCUACUUAGGUGCUUGUAGAACUGGGCAUGACUACUGACCUUUAGUAUUUUCACAUGAAGUGUACACUUCUGAGAUGGCUUAUGUGUCAAUAUAUUCUGUUUGGCUUCAUGGAGGAACCUGAGCCCAGUUCACUUGUUACUAGUUUUAUAUCCUCCUUGUGUGAAAUCUCAUGAUCUGCGCCAUGGAGGUUGAACUUUUGGUUAUGCUCUCCUUGAUAAAUUUAUUGCAAAUGGGAUUGAGGCUGUGCGUUCAUUGCCACUUUAGGUUUAUGCUGCCUGUUAACAAGCUAUAAUUGGUCUAAGUUGGAAGUUUGUUUUAUCAAACUCAUGCAAUAGUACUAUUCUCCCCUCUCUCUCUCUCUCUCU